GCAAUUCUCCUGCCUCAGCCUCCCGAGUAGCUGGGAUUACAGGUAAGUGCCACCACACCCAGCUGAUUUUUGUGUUUUUUGUAGAGACGAGGUUUCACCAUGUUUCCCAGACUGUUCUCAAACUCCUGAGCUCAAAGCAGUCCACCCACCUUGGCCUCCCAAAGUGCUGGGAUUACAGGUGUGAGCCAUCUUGCUCAUUCUAGUUUAAACUUUUGAGUGGUUUGUGUCUCCUGAUUGGACUCCUACAAAUACAGAAUUGAUGCUAGGAAGGGUACCAGGAGAUAGAUGCACACAGAUGGGAUUUGGGAAUAGGUUUGGUUAUCCAAGGAGCAGUGCUGAGCUCCUUGCUAAUGGGAUAUGGGAUGCUGGUGAUUUCCAGGAAGUGACCUCACAAUGACUCAAGCUACCACAUACUGUUGAUUGUGAAAUGCCAGUUGAAGCAUAUGUCCUGCGAGCUUAGGGGUGCUACAAGUUGACCACUGCAGCAGUAAAGAUGACUCUGAAGAAUGGCAUGGGAUGGAUCCUUUCGAAUGCACUUGAGCAGCAGUCUCCAACCACAGGGCCACAGAGCUGGAGCUGGAUCUACCAUGAAAGACUUCUGAAUCCAGGAAGAGAGACUGACUGGGCAACAUGUUAUUCAGGUACAAAAAGAUUUGGACUGUAACUUAAAAAUGAUCAAAUAAUAGUGCAUGCAUCUAGUGCAUGCAUCAAGUGCAAUGGGAAGCUCUUCUGGAGAGUGAGAGAAGCUUCCAGUUAAGGUGACAUUGAAGCCAAGUCCUGAAAG
rnacentral:lncRNA from 1 species